AACGAACGCUGGCGGCAUGCCUAACACAUGCAAGUCGAACGAGACCUUCGGGUCUAGUGGCGCACGGGUGCGUAACGCGUGGGAACCUGCCCUUAGGUUCGGAAUAACUCCCCGAAAGGGGUGCUAAUACCGGAUAAUGUCUUCGGACCAACGAUUUAUCGCCGUUGGAUGGGCCCGCGUUGGAUUAGCUAGUUGGUAGGGUAAAAGCCUACCAAGGCGACGAUCCAUAGCUGGUCUGAGAGGAUGAUCAGCCACACUGGGACUGAGACACGGCCCAGACUCCUACGGGAGGCAGCAGUGGGGAAUAUUGGACAAUGGGCGAAAGCCUGAUCCAGCAAGGCCGCGUGAGUGAUGAAGGCCUUAGGGUUGUAAAGCUCUUUUACCCGGGAUGAUAAUGACAGUACCGGGAGAAUAAGCUCCGGCUAACUCCGUG
rnacentral:rRNA from 1 species